GGCUCUAUAGUUCAAUGGAUAGAAUGUAGGUUUCCGGUACCUAAGAUAAAGGUUCGAUUCCUUUUAGGGCUA
rnacentral:tRNA from 1 species